AACGAACGCUGGCGGCAGGCCUAACACAUGCAAGUCGAGCGGGACCUUCGGGUCUAGCGGCGGACGGGUGAGUAUCGCGUGGGAAUGUGCCCUUCUCUACGGAAUAGGCUCGGGAAACUGAGAGUAAUACCGUAUACGCCCUUUGGGGGAAAGAUUUAUCGGAGAAGGAUCAGCCCGCGUUGGAUUAGGUAGUUGGUGGGGUAAUGGCCUACCAAGCCGACGAUCCAUAGCUGGUUUGAGAGGAUGAUCAGCCACACUGGGACUGAGACACGGCCCAGACUCCUACGGGAGGCAGCAGUGGGGAAUCUUAGACAAUGGGGGAAACCCUGAUCUAGCCAUGCCGCGUGAGUGAUGAAGGCCUUAGGGUUGUAAAGCUCUUUCAGCUGGGAAGAUAAUGACGGUACCAGCAGAAGAAGCCCCGGCUAACUCCGUGCCAGCCGCCGCGGUAAUAC
rnacentral:rRNA from 1 species